rnacentral:rRNA from 1 species
UACGGAGGGGGCUAGCGUUGUUCGGAAUUACUGGGCGUAAAGCGUGCGCAGGCGGUUUUGUAAGCCAGAUGUGAAAUCCCCGGGCUUAACCUGGGAAUGGCAUUUGGGACUGCAAGGCUGGAGUUUGGCAGAGGAGACUGGAAUUCCCGGUGUAGCAGUGAAAUGCGUAGAUAUCGGGAGGAAUACCGAUGGCGAAGGCAGGUCUCUGGGCUAUAACUGACGCUCAUGCACGAAAGCGUGGGGAGCAAACAGG